rnacentral:rRNA from 1 species
GUUUCCUACGGGAGGCAGCAGUGAGGAAUAUUGGUCAAUGGGCUAAGGCCUGAACCAGCCAAGUCGCGUGAGGGAAGACGGUCCUAUGGAUUGUAAACCUCUUUUGUCGGGGAGCAACGAGGACACGUGUGGCCGAAGUGAGAGUACCCGAAGAAAAAGCAUCGGCUAACUCCGUGCCAGCAGCCGCGGUAAUACGGAGGAUGCGAGCGUUAUCCGGAUUUAUUGGGUUUAAAGGGUGCGUAGGAGGCACAUUAAGUCAGCGGUAAAAUCGCGGGGCUCAACCCC